GGGGAUGUUUUGGAUUAGACGGGACGUUCCGAUUGUAGCGAAUUGCGAGUCCGAGCGCUGUUCUCGGUUAUCAACGAGCAAAACAAAUUAAAUGCUAAAAAUAAUGUAAUCGAAGCUAACUUCGCACCUGCAUACGCAGUAGCUGCCUAAGCCUCGAUGAAUAGCUACUCGUAUAUCCCAGCUUGCCGGAUGUACGGGUCCAUUAUGCAAGACGCAGUACGCUGAUUGCGGUAGGCGUAUCAAGACAACCGCAAAAGGUUUAGAGUUUCCUUCAAAUAAAACCUUGGAUCGGCUUACAUACGGUUUUAUGUAACUUUCCGAAGUCGAUUGAGCGAAUAAGUGACUACACUCGUAGAUAUUUGGUGCAAUCCGUUUUGGACAGGGGUUCAACUCCCCUCAUCUCCACCA
rnacentral:tmRNA from 1 species